rnacentral:rRNA from 1 species
UACGGAGGAUCCAAGCGUUAUCCGGAUUUAUUGGGUUUAAAGGGUGCGUAGGCGGAUUGAUAAGUUAGAGGUGAAAUGUCCGAGCUCAACUCGGGAACUGCCUCUAAUACUGUUGAUCUAGAGAGUAGAUGCGGUAGGCGGAAUGUAUGGUGUAGCGGUGAAAUGCUUAGAGAUCAUACAGAACACCGAUUGCGGAGGCAGCUUACCAAUCUAUAUCUGACGUUGAGGCACGAAAGCGUGGGGAGCAAACAGG